UAUUACAGAUCGUGCCCAUCCCACUUCUCUCUAUCAUAACCGAACAUAACAACCUCAAUCACAGCCUGGCAUGCCCACCCCAGCUGGGGGUCCUCUGUCCAUGCCUGCCCCGGCGGGGGUUUGCAGGCUAAAGGAGCCCGCCCCGAUGGGGGUAUAGGAGUUUAGUUUUUUAAAUCCUAUUACAGAUCGUGCCCAUCCCACUUCUCUCUAUCAUAACCGAACAUAACAACCUCAAUCCCAUGAAUCCUCUCCAAAUCGCCCACUUCCCAUAGAAAUUGGCCCACUUACACUCCCAUAUAAAUCCAACUCCAAUCUCUUCCAUUCUAUACCAAAUCCACAUCACACUUCAGAUUUCCAUCAAAAACCUAGGGUUUCUCAUC
rnacentral:lncRNA from 1 species